GACGAACGCUGGCGGCGUGCUUAACACAUGCAAGUCGAACGGAAAGGCCCUGCUUUUGUGGGGUGCUCGAGUGGCGAACGGGUGAGUGACACGUGAGUAACCUGCCCUUGACUUUGGGAUAACUUCAGGAAACUGGGGCUAAUACCGGAUAGGAGCUCCUGCUGCACGGUGGGGGUUGGAAAGUUUCGGCGGUUGGGGAUGGACUCGCGGCUUAUCAGCUUGUUGGUGGGGUAGUGGCUUACCAAGGCUUUGACGGGUAGCCGGCCUGAGAGGGUGACCGGCCACAUUGGGACUGCGAUACGGCCCAGACUCCUACGGGAGGCAGCGGUGGGGAAUAUUGCACAAUGGGCGGAAGCCUGAUGCGGCAGCGCCGCGUGCGGGAUGACGGCCUUCGGGUUGUAAACCGCUUUCGCCUGUGACGAAGCGUGAGUGACGGUAAUGGGUAAAGAAGCACCGGCUAACUACGUG
rnacentral:rRNA from 1 species